rnacentral:piRNA from 2 species
UCCUCAUCAACCGUCCGGAUGGUGGC